rnacentral:rRNA from 1 species
UACGUAGGGUGCAAGCGUUGUCCGGAAUCAUUGGGCGUAAAGCGCGCGCAGGCGGUCCCUUAAGUCUGAUGUGAAAGCCCACGGCUCAACCGUGGAGGGUCAUUGGAAACUGGGGGACUUGAGUACAGAAGAGGAAAGCGGAAUUCCACGUGUAGCGGUGAAAUGCGUAGAGAUGUGGAGGAACACCAGUGGCGAAGGCGGCUUUCUGGUCUGUAACUGACGCUGAGGCGCGAAAGCGUGGGGAGCAAACAGG